rnacentral:rRNA from 1 species
GAUGAACGCUAGCGGCAGGCCUAAUACAUGCAAGUCGAACGAUAUUAAGGGGCUUGCUCCUUAAGAAAGUGGCGCACGGGUGCGUAACGCGUAUGCAACCUACCUUAAUCAGGGGGAUAGCCCGAAGAAAUUCGGAUUAACACCGCAUAAAAACACAGGAUAGCAUUAUCCAAUGUUCAAAUAUUUAUAGGAUUAAGAUGGGCAUGCGUGUCAUUAGCUAGUUGGCGGGGUAACGGCCCACCAAGGCGACGAUGACUAGGGGAUCUGAGAGGAUGACCCCCCACACUGGUACUGAGACACGGAACAGACUCCUACGGGAGGCAGCAGUAAGUAAUAUUGGUCAAUGGAGGCAACUCUGAACCAGCCAUGCCGCGUGCAGGAAGACUGCCCUAUGGGUUGUAAACUGCUUUUAUCCGGGAAUAAACCUUUCUACGUGUAGGAAGCUGAAUGUACCGGAAGAAUAAGGAUCGGCUAACUCCGUGCCAGCCGCCGCCGUAAUAC